UGUCCUUAGAGUUGUACCGAACUGACAGCUCAAUAUUUGUGUAUCUGACUUCAUCUUCCUCUCUCUCAUCGCUCUCGGUCUCCAUCUCUGUUAUUUUCCUUUCUCUUUCUUUCACCUCCAAAAGCUUCACUAAUGGAUAAGUUUAUUACGUCCCAACCACAGGCUACCACCAGAUAAGGCUCUAAAUUUCUCUCCCUCUUUCUCUCUAUUCACACAUUUCUCUUUUAUUUUAUUUUCCUGUGGUACGUUUGGUGUAGGUUUCAGAUCACAAAUUGUGAAAAUUUUGGUGUUUUUUAUUGAUAUAACAGUAUGAUUCAUUGAACUAUAAUUCCCACUUUUUGGGAGGGUAAUUCAAUUAUCUUAUUGUUACAAAGAACUUGCUCUAAGUGAUGCAAACAACAUGUUCGACAAACUGUCUGAGAACCGAGUUCAUUCGCCAGUGAAGUCUGAGCAAAUGAUCGCUAUUAGGAGUCAAUUAGGAAUAAGUUUUGGAUAGUCAGGUAACAGGUUAAGUAUUCCACCUGGGAAGUACGUUUGAUAGAAUGAAACUCAAAGGAAUUGAUGGGAGCCCGCACAAGUGGUGGAGCAUGUCCUUUUAAUGCUAUGCAAAGCGAAGGAGAGCUUGGACAUUCUGUGAAUCCUCUUGAAAGAAAGCAAACCAGCAAAAUAUAAUGCAUAUCUACAAUGGGUAAUUUUUUAAAUCUACCUUUGCCCCUAAUGAAAGAGUACAAUAAUGUCUGGUCCUUAAAUCAUAUAACGAGACCACAGGCUAUUUCAUGAAAUAGAUUUAGAGAUGAUAGACUGCAGAAGCCUUGCGUUGAUAAUUUAACACAUGGAACUAGGGGAGAAAAAGAAGUGAAAGAGGAUAAUAAGAUGCAGACUACUUUUGCUGUGGUUGAAGGUUGAGUUGCAGAAAAUUAAAGUAGGACUGAUAGAAACUAUUUUGAGAAACACAGAAAUUUGAAACUACUCUUCAUUCAAUUUCUGGCUAAAUAGUAUAUUGAUGCAUACUGUUGAGGUUAUGUUUGGCUAGGAUUAAUCUAUUCGAGAAAGGAAAGAAACAUAAUAGGCUUUGAAGGUAGCAAAACAUUAGGUCUAACAUCUAACAUAUCCUAAAAUGUCAAUUUACUAAAAUUUACAAAAAGAUACAACUUCACUUCUCAUUAUAAAAUCUUAAAGGGGCCUUUGUUUGGGCCUGUUGGACUUUGAAUACUGAAAUACUUUGAGAAAUUGGCAUAACUUAGAGAAAUAUUAAUUGAGGAAAUAACUUAAUCGUCUCCUUAUACGGUCUUGGAUAUUAUAAGCUAGAGUUAGUGCUUGUUAAACCCAAGGUUCAUUUUCUUUGUGGUACAAGGGCUAGACUCAGUGCAGUUCUCGGUUUACUUAAUGUUAAGCCCCACAUUAUAUUUGUUCAUGCUCCAACUGCCCAGUCUUAAAUAAACAGAGAUGGUUAAGUGUACUAUAUUGGUUGAGGGAUGAACUAUUGUCUCCUUCUAAUGAACCUAGAAAAUUCUCGUAUGAUGAGCUAGCUUCUAUAGUUGGGUUAAGCCAAUGUCCAUUUUCGUUAUAGUAAAAA